UACGUAGGGACCAAGCGUUGUUCGGAUUUACUGGGCGUAAAGGGUUCGUAGGUGGCUCGCUAAGUCAGACGUGAAAUCCCUCAGCUUAACUGGGGAACUGCGUCUGAGACUGGAUGGCUUGAGUGCAGGAGAGGAACGCGGAAUUCCAGGUGUAGCGGUGAAAUGCGUAGAUAUCUGGAGGAACACCGGUGGCGAAGGCGGCGUUCUGGACUGCUACUGACACUGAGGAACGAAAGCCAGGGGAGCAAACGGG
rnacentral:rRNA from 1 species